rnacentral:rRNA from 1 species
AUUGAACGCUGGCGGCAGGCCUAACACAUGCAAGUCGAGCGGAGCGGCGGACGGGUGAGUAAUGCCUAGGAAUCUGCCUGGUAGUGGGGGAUAACGUAAGGACACGGGCGCUAAUACCGCAUACUAUCAGAUGAACAUAGGGCGGAUUAGCUAGUUGGUGGGGUAAAGGCCUACCAAGGCGACGAUCCGUAACUGGUCUGAGAGGAUGAUCAGUCACACUGGAAGUGAGACACGGUCCAGACUCCUCCGGGAGGAAGCAGUGGGGAAUAUUGGACAAUGGGCGAAAUCCUGAUCCAGCCAUGCCGCUUGUUUGAAGAAGGUCUUCGGAUUGUAAAGCACUUUAAGUUGGGAGGCGUUACCAAAAGAAUAAGCACCGGCUAACUUCGUGCCAGCAGCCGCGGUAAUAC